rnacentral:rRNA from 1 species
GACGAACGCUGGCGGCGUGCCUAAUACAUGCAAGUCGAACGCUUUUUCUUUCACCGGAGCUUGCUCCACCGGAAGAAAAAGAGUGGCGAACGGGUGAGUAACACGUGGGUAACCUGCCCAUCAGAAGGGGAUAACACUUGGGAACAGGUGCUAAUACCGUAUAACACUAUUUUCCGCAUGGAAGAAAGUUGAAAGGCGCUUUUGCGUCACUGAUGGAUGGACCCGCGGUGCAUUAGCUAGUUGGUGAGGUAACGGCUCACCAAGGCAACGAUGCAUAGCCGACCUGAGAGGGUGAUCGGCCACACUGGGACUGAGACACGGCCCAGACUCCUACGGGAGGCAGCAGUAGGGAAUCUUCGGCAAUGGACGAAAGUCUGACCGAGCAACGCCGCGUGAGUGAAGAAGGUUUUCGGAUCGUAAAACUCUGUUGUUAGAGAAGAACAAGGAUGAGAGUAGAACGUUCAUCCCUUGACGGUAUCUAACCAGAAAGCCACGGCUAACUACGUGCCAGCCGCCGCGGUAA